UACGGGGGGGGCAAGCGUUGUUCGGAAUUACUGGGCGUAAAGGGCUCGUAGGCGGCCAACUAAGUCAUACGUGAAAUCCCUCAGCUUAACUGGGGAACUGCGUGUGAUACUGGAUGGCUUGAAUUCGGGAGAGGGAUGCAGAAUUCCAGGUGUAGCGGUGAAAUGCGUAGAUAUCUGGAGGAAUACCGGUGGCGAAGGCGGCAUCCUGGACCGACAUUGACGCUGAUGAGCGAAAGCUAGGGGAGCAAACGGG
rnacentral:rRNA from 1 species